UUGGCGUGUUCCAAACACUGUCCAGAUUCUUGCCUCUGCUUUCAAGGGGCGCUGGGACUCUAGAAG
rfam:Equus caballus chromosome 24, whole genome shotgun sequence.